rnacentral:lncRNA from 1 species
AUGAUGAUGAAGUACAACCUUAUUCAUUCCUCUCUUUCUCUCAAUCUCUCUCUCCCUCUCUCUCUAUAUAUAUACAUGUAUUCUUCACUAUCAAUAAGAUAAACAUUCUAUAAUAUACUAUUUAUUGUGAUUAUUGUCUAGGUAACAAUUUUUGAUAUUUUCUUUAUCUUUAUGGUCCGAAUUUUUUUUAUCCAUAUAUGUGGUUACAUAAUAUAAUUUCUACAUUCUGUGUUCAGCUUCUACCACCAUCAAAUUUUGAAGAGGUGUUCAUCAAUAUUUUUGAAUAUAUUGAUAUACUUUUCAAAAUUGUUAGGCCACAUAAGCUACUAUACUCAGCCAUAGGUGAGAAAGUUUGAAUUUUGUUUUUGAUCUCGUAGUGUUUAAUAAACUCAUGAGACUUUUAUACGUUGUUUGCUUUCCCUAAUCAACUGCAGUGCAGUUGAGAUAUGUGUUCUUAUAUAUGUGUUGCACUUAA